UUCAUUUGUAUAUUUGCUUCCUCAUUUUUUCUGAGAGUGUUAAGUAGAAUUUGCCUAUUUAUUUUUUCUGUACUGGGGAUUGAACUCAGGGCCUUCUCACUGAGCUACAUACAGCUUUAUAUUUAUUCAAUGAAUAAAUCAAUGAUUAAAUAAGUGAAAUGACCCAAGUAUGAAUGGUUAUGGUAGAAAUAACACAAAUAUUAUGUCAGCAAUAUUUUAUUUCCUCCCAAAUUUAAUCUUUACUUGAAAUUGAUAAUUAGGAGAGCAUAAGAUCUGAGUCAUGUAGUUCUUAUAUAUUUUAUUAUAAGACGGUUGUAGCUUUUCAGAUAUGGGGGCAGUAGAUUAUAGUUCAAACAGGACAUUGCUUCUACUAACUUGAGGCAAUCUGAGUACUGAGUGAACUUUCAACUAUUAGGUAGCACAUACCCCCCACACUCUUCCUUCUCUUUGUUCACAGAUGGUCAACAGAGCUAAAGUAAAAGGUGGUUAUAAAGUAGACAGUGGUUGCAGUGGAUUCUGCUCUUCAGUGGUGGUUUCCUGUGAGGACUUUCCUCUUUUUCCUGUUCUCUCUCCCUAUUCAGUGAGGAGGAUGUUGCCUGGCAUUGAAAUACAGGAACAAUGGGGCAGGCAACAUAAGGAACAAAGAAGGGAAGGAGGUUGUAGAUUCCACUGGAAACUGGGCUUAGCUUUGGAGUUUAACCAGCAAUGUUUUGGUGUUAGCUGAGUCUCUUCCUGAAGGUCUGUGUUCUAUCAUGCUUCCUGUGAACAUCUGACUCCACCCAGCCACAUUCUGCAGGAGGAAACUGGAUGAACAAAGAGCAGUUUGCAUAAGACUAUUGUAAGUCCCAUUAUGGCUAUUUACACAGCUGUAAUAGUUAUAAAUAAAUUACUUCGUAAAUUUCAACAAAUGGAAUCAUGUGAUUUCAUUUUGUCUGCUUUGUCUCUUCUUGGUGCCGCCAACUUGCCAGUGCGUCAUUUAUUUGGGCUCAUUUUUCCUGAAAUGAGAUUUCAAGAAGAGCUCAAUUAUAGUAUCUGAGAACCACUGCUCUCUCCACCUCAGCUGUUUGUUGUUGUUGGAGAGAAAACAUAGCAGAAAAUAAGAACAUGUAAUGCAUGGAUAAAACCAUGCAUAUUAACUUUUUGGAUCAUAUUUCCUUUGCCAGGUG
rnacentral:lncRNA from 1 species